rfam:Kyrpidia tusciae DSM 2912, complete genome.
UCGGGUGACGAGAGCGGAGGGGAAACACCUGUGCCCAUCCCGAACACAGAAGUGAAGUCCUCCAGCGCCGAUGGUACUUGGGCCGCCGGGCCCUGGGAGAGUAGGACGUUGCCGGGC